GACGAACGCUGGCGGCGUGCUUAACACAUGCAAGUCGAACGAAGAGCGAUGGAAGCUUGCUUCUAUCAAUCUUAGUGGCGAACGGGUGAGUAACGCGUAAUCAACCUGCCCUUCAGAGGGGGACAACAGUUGGAAACGACUGCUAAUACCGCAUACGAUCUAAUCUCGGCAUCGAGGAUAGAUGAAAGGUGGCCUCUACAUGUAAGCUAUCACUGAAGGAGGGGAUUGCGUCUGAUUAGCUAGUUGGAGGGGUAACGGCCCACCAAGGCGAUGAUCAGUAGCCGGUCUGAGAGGAUGAACGGCCACAUUGGGACUGAGAUACGGCCCAGACUCCUACGGGAGGCAGCAGUGGGGAAUCUUCCGCAAUAGACGUAAGUCUGACGGAGCAACGCCGCGUGAGUGAUGACGGCCUUCGGGUUGUAAAGCUCUGUUAAUCGGGACGAAAGGCCUUCUUGCGAAUAGUGAGAAGGAUUGACGGUACCGGAAUAGAAAGCCACGGCUAACUACGUG
rnacentral:rRNA from 1 species